AUGGAUGCCAGCAAGGAUUUCCGGCGCCACCGUCCGCUCCACCUCUGCUGCCCCACGAACGUCAGGGCAGGGCGCCGUGGCCGCCUGCAGAUCUUCCCUACUGACCCACGGAUGCGAGCACAGGGUGCCGCCGUUGCCACAUUGAGGCCCUCACCACAAGCCAACGAACUUGGAUCAGGUACUAACUUUGAUCAGAUUUUUCUUUACCUUAACAUCAAGCCACCGUCUGGGCGUAGGAAGCCAGCUCACGCCUCACGGGAAACAAAUCUUGGUGGCUCAUACUCUGUAGCAAGCAAAGCAAUCUGGUUUCAUGAACACCAACUCUCCCCUUCAAUUAUUAAGAGUGCCAUGAUCAGAAGAACCUGCACUUGCGAAAACAAAAUUAAUAAUGACCAAAAUGAUGGACAUCAUUCAAUGUUCAUGGGCAGAUUCCUCAUGGUAGAUUUGGGUCAAAAUUCAGAAAUACAAAGAGUACAAAAAUAA
rnacentral:rRNA from 1 species